GGCGGGGGCCGGGAAGUGGUGGGAGAAGUCGCCGCCCGCGUCUGUCCAAACUUAGUCCCAAACUCAGGAGGUUCCUGUCCCAAGAAGCAAUGUAAAGUUUGAAACGAGCCGAGCGCGGUGGCUCACGCCUGUAAUCCCAGCACUUUGGGAGGCCGAGGCUGGCGAAUCAUUUGAGACACAGGGUCUCACUGUGUUGGCCAGGCUGGAGUGCGGCAGUCUGGAACUCCUGGGCCCAAGUGAUCCUCCAAUCAGCCUCACAAAGCACUGGAAUUACAGGUCCUGGCAGGAGCUCUGGUACCUGGGAAGCUGGAUGGAGAGCCUGGGCCAGAAUCCCGGACCCCUCACCUCUGCGGCCUAGCUUUGUGACCUUGGCAAAUCCAUUCUAUGCACCUCCAUUUCCUGUACAGUGGGGAUCCUUAUUUCUCUGGCACAGAUUGGUAUUUGUUCUGUAAAGCCCAGUACCACUU
rnacentral:lncRNA from 1 species